rnacentral:rRNA from 1 species
GACGAACGCUGGCGGCGUGCUUAACACAUGCAAGUCGAACGGGGCUGCUAUGAUGGAGUUUUCGGACAACUGAUUAGUAUGCCUAGUGGCGGACGGGUGAGUAACGCGUGAGUAACCUGCCUUUCAGAGGGGGAUAACAUUUGGAAACGACUGCUAAUACCGCAUAAGCCCUGAGGGGGAAAGAUUUAUCGCCGAAAGAACGGCCCGCGGAAGAUUAGGUAGUUGGUGGGGUAACGGCCUACCAAGCCGACGAUCUAUAGCUGGUCUGAGAGGACGAUCAGCCACAUUGGAACUGAGACACGGUCCAA